GACGAACGCUGGCGGCGUGCCUAAUACAUGCAAGUCGAGCGGAUUUAAUUAGAGCUUGCUCUAAUUAAAUUAGCGGCGGACGGGUGAGUAACACGUGGGCAACCUGCCCUGCAGAUUGGGAUAACUCCGGGAAACCGGGGCUAAUACCGAAUAACAUUGGAAACCUCAUGGUUUCCUUUUAAAAGGCGGCUUCGGCUGUCACUGCAGGAUGGGCCCGCGGCGCAUUAGCUAGUUGGUGAGGUACCGGCUCACCAAGGCGACGAUGCGGAGCCGACCUGGGAGGGUGAUCGGCCACACUGGGACUGAGACACGGCCCAGACUCCUACGGGAGGCAGCAGUAGGGAAUCUUCCGCAAUGGACGAAAGUCUGACGGAGCAACGCCGCGUGAGUGAAGAAGGUUUUCGGAUCGUAAAACUCUGUUGUCAGGGAAGAACAAGUACGGGAGUAACUGACCGUACCUUGACGGUACCUGGCCAGAAAGCCACGGCUAACUACGUGCCAGCAGCCGCGGUAACAC
rnacentral:rRNA from 1 species